UAGCAUCAACUCAGUGAUCAGCCGUGAAUCUGAAAAGUUGCCAGAACAUAAACAUACUCUGCCAAACUUGCCAAGGGUAGGCUGCAAACUCCCCAGAAGAGAUGUUUUCCCUACAUCCAGAAAAAAAGGAGCAUAAAAACCAAGGGAAGAAGAAUCCUAACAAACAGGGGAUCUUCUCAACCCAGGCAUUGA